rnacentral:rRNA from 1 species
GCAAGUAGAACGCUGAAGCUUGGUGCUUGCACCGAGCGGAUGAGUUGCGAACGGGUGAGUAACGCGUAGGUAACCUGCCUGGUAGCGGGGGAUAACUAUUGGAAACGAUAGCUAAUACCGCAUAAUAGUAGAUGUUGCAUGACAUUUGCUUAAAAGGUGCAAUUGCAUCACUACCAGAUGGACCUGCGUUGUAUUAGCUAGUUGGUGAGGUAACGGCUCACCAAGGCAACGAUACAUAGCCGACCUGAGAGGGUGAUCGGCCACACUGGGACUGAGACACGGCCCAGACUCCUACGGGAGGCAGCAGUAGGGAAUCUUCGGCAAUGGACGGAAGUCUGACCGAGCAACGCCGCGUGAGUGAAGAAGGUUUUCGGAUCGUAAAGCUCUGUUGUAAGAGAAGAACGAGUGUGAGAGUGGAAAGUUCACAC